rnacentral:rRNA from 1 species
GACGAACGCUGGCGGCGUGCUUAACACAUGCAAGUCGAACGGAAAGGCCUCUUUCGGGGGGUACUCGAGUGGCGAACGGGUGAGUAACACGUGAGUAACCUGCCCUUGACUUUGGGAUAACUUCAGGAAACUGGGGCUAAUACCGGAUAGGAGCUCCUGCUGCAUGGUGGGGGUUGGAAAGUUUCGGCGGUUGGGGAUGGACUCGCGGCUUAUCAGCUUGUUGGUGGGGUAGUGGCUUACCAAGGCUUUGACGGGUAGCCGGCCUGAGAGGGUGACCGGCCACAUUGGGACUGAGAUACGGCCCAGACCCCUACGGGAGGCAGGAGGGGGGAAUAGUGCAAAAUGGGUGGAAGCCUGAGGCAGCGACGCCGUGGGGGGGAUGACGGCCUUCGGGUUGUAAACCGCUUUCGCUCAUGACGAAGCUUUGGGUGACGGUAGGGGGUAAAGAAGCACCGGCUAACUACGU